AGCGUACACGGUGGAUGCCCUGGCAGUCAGAGGCGAUGAAGGACGUGCUAAUCUGCGAUAAGCGUCGGUAAGGUGAUAUGAACCGUUAUAACCGGCGAUUUCCGAAUGGGGAAACCCAGUGUGAUUCGUCACACUAUCAUUAACUGAAUCCAUAGGUUAAUGAGGCGAACCGGGGGAACUGAAACAUCUAAGUACCCCGAGGAAAAGAAAUCAACCGAGAUUCCCCCAGUAGCGGCGAGCGAACGGGGAGCAGCCCAGAGCCUGAAUCAGUGUGUGUGUUAGUGGAAGCGUCUGGAAAGGCGCGCGAUACAGGGUGACAGCCCCGUACACAAAAAUGCACAUGCUGUGAGCUCGAUGAGUAGGGCGGGACACGUGGUAUCCUGUCUGAAUAUGGGGGGACCAUCCUCCAAGGCUAAAUACUCCUGACUGACCGAUAGUGAACCAGUACCGUGAGGGAAAGGCGAAAAGAACCCCGGCGAGGGGAGUGAAAAAGAACCUGAAACCGUGUACGUACAAGCAGUGGGAGCCUCUUUUAUGGGGUGACUGCGUACCUUUUGUAUAAUGGGUCAGCGACUUAUAUUCUGUAGCAAGGUUAACCGAAUAGGGGAGCCGAAGGGAAACCGAGUCUUAACUGGGCGUUAAGUUGCAGGGUAUAGACCCGAAACCCGGUGAUCUAGCCAUGGGCAGGUUGAAGGUUGGGUAACACUAACUGGAGGACCGAACCGACUAAUGUUGAAAAAUUAGCGGAUGACUUGUGGCUGGGGGUGAAAGGCCAAUCAAACCGGGAGAUAGCUGGUUCUCCCCGAAAGCUAUUUAGGUAGCGCCUCGUGAAUUCAUCUCCGGGGGUAGAGCACUGUUUCGGCAAGGGGGUCAUCCCGACUUACCAACCCGAUGCAAACUGCGAAUACCGGAGAAUGUUAUCACGGGAGACACACGGCGGGUGCUAACGUCCGUCGUGAAGAGGGAAACAACCCAGACCGCCAGCUAAGGUCCCAAAGUCAUGGUUAAGUGGGAAACGAUGUGGGAAGGCCCAGACAGCCAGGAUGUUGGCUUAGAAGCAGCCAUCAUUUAAAGAAAGCGUAAUAGCUCACUGGUCGAGUCGGCCUGCGCGGAAGAUGUAACGGGGCUAAACCAUGCACCGAAGCUGCGGCAGCGACGCUUAUGCGUUGUUGGGUAGGGGAGCGUUCUGUAAGCCUGUGAAGGUGUGCUGUGAGGCAUGCUGGAGGUAUCAGAAGUGCGAAUGCUGACAUAAGUAACGAUAAAGCGGGUGAAAAGCCCGCUCGCCGGAAGACCAAGGGUUCCUGUCCAACGUUAAUCGGGGCAGGGUGAGUCGACCCCUAAGGCGAGGCCGAAAGGCGUAGUCGAUGGGAAACAGGUUAAUAUUCCUGUACUUGGUGUUACUGCGAAGGGGGGACGGAGAAGGCUAUGUUGGCCGGGCGACGGUUGUCCCGGUUUAAGCGUGUAGGCUGGUUUUCCAGGCAAAUCCGGAAAAUCAAGGCUGAGGCGUGAUGACGAGGCACUACGGUGCUGAAGCAACAAAUGCCCUGCUUCCAGGAAAAGCCUCUAAGCAUCAGGUAACAUCAAAUCGUACCCCAAACCGACACAGGUGGUCAGGUAGAGAAUACCAAGGCGCUUGAGAGAACUCGGGUGAAGGAACUAGGCAAAAUGGUGCCGUAACUUCGGGAGAAGGCACGCUGAUAUGUAGGUGAAGCGACUUGCUCGUGGAGCUGAAAUCAGUCGAAGAUACCAGCUGGCUGCAACUGUUUAUUAAAAACACAGCACUGUGCAAACACGAAAGUGGACGUAUACGGUGUGACGCCUGCCCGGUGCCGGAAGGUUAAUUGAUGGGGUCAGCGCAAGCGAAGCUCUUGAUCGAAGCCCCGGUAAACGGCGGCCGUAACUAUAACGGUCCUAAGGUAGCGAAAUUCCUUGUCGGGUAAGUUCCGACCUGCACGAAUGGCGUAAUGAUGGCCAGGCUGUCUCCACCCGAGACUCAGUGAAAUUGAACUCGCUGUGAAGAUGCAGUGUACCCGCGGCAAGACGGAAAGACCCCGUGAACCUUUACUAUAGCUUGACACUGAACAUUGAGCCUUGAUGUGUAGGAUAGGUGGGAGGCUUUGAAGUGUGGACGCCAGUCUGCAUGGAGCCGACCUUGAAAUACCACCCUUUAAUGUUUGAUGUUCUAACGUUGACCCGUAAUCCGGGUUGCGGACAGUGUCUGGUGGGUAGUUUGACUGGGGCGGUCUCCUCCUAAAGAGUAACGGAGGAGCACGAAGGUUGGCUAAUCCUGGUCGGACAUCAGGAGGUUAGUGCAAUGGCAUAAGCCAGCUUGACUGCGAGCGUGACGGCGCGAGCAGGUGCGAAAGCAGGUCAUAGUGAUCCGGUGGUUCUGAAUGGAAGGGCCAUCGCUCAACGGAUAAAAGGUACUCCGGGGAUAACAGGCUGAUACCGCCCAAGAGUUCAUAUCGACGGCGGUGUUUGGCACCUCGAUGUCGGCUCAUCACAUCCUGGGGCUGAAGUAGGUCCCAAGGGUAUGGCUGUUCGCCAUUUAAAGUGGUACGCGAGCUGGGUUUAGAACGUCGUGAGACAGUUCGGUCCCUAUCUGCCGUGGGCGCUGGAGAACUGAGGGGGGCUGCUCCUAGUACGAGAGGACCGGAGUGGACGCAUCACUGGUGUUCGGGUUGUCAUGCCAAUGGCACUGCCCGGUAGCUAAAUGCGGAAGAGAUAAGUGCUGAAAGCAUCUAAGCACGAAACUUGCCCCGAGAUGAGUUCUCCCUGACUCCUUGA
rnacentral:rRNA from 1 species